GGGACCCUACGGAUCUACAGAGGAUGAUUGCAAUUAUAGUGAAUAUUUAAAUUUUAAAAAAAUGUAUUACAGUAAAUGACACAUCAUCAUUAAUCUCCCUGAAAAUACUCCCCUUCUUGUCAUGUCUUUAUUUAUUUUCCUGUUCCAGAGAUCAAACUCAGGACUUGGCGCUUGCCAGGCAGGCACAGUGCUGCCAAGAUACAUUUCCCACCCCAUGCAUGUCUUUAUAUGAUAAAAAAAGAUAUGAUCAAAACUAUACUGUGCGCUGCCGCUGAGUGUCAUCCAGCAGAAAAACAUGAGUGUGUUCUCACUCAUCUCAUUCACCAGGUCUGGUACUGUGCAAAGGCUGGCUCUUCCCCAGGGCAAAAUCACCACGAAAGGUAAGCGUUUGGAAUUGUUCGGGACAUGGGAGCAGCCUUGGCAGCACAAGCGAAUGCAAAAACGAGGACUUCAGAACAAACUGCUUCAGAAAGUGGCCAUAACAACAGGAUAAGUGUGUUUGAAGAGGGGGGAAACCUGAAGGGAUUAAUGGCAAUGUGCCUUUUACCGUAAAAAAAAAAAAAAGUUUUUAAAUUUAAACUUUCACCAUAUGUUUCAGUCACGGUACAGAGAAGAUGAGCAAGAGAGGGUCUGGAAGGAACCAAGAGCUUUGGAGAGGAGACCCGGUCCCUCACAAGGAUUCGUCUCAGACCUCUUGGUCUACCAAGAGCUACACAGCCUGGCUGCCAGUGGUGAAUGUGCUUGCCAACGACACAAGCUAGGCCGGCGGUUUGCAGUGAUGCAGUUUUAUGCACCAUGGUGUGGUCAUUGUAAAAAACUGGAACCAGUCUGGAUGAAGUUGGUCUUGAAAUGAAAAGCAUUGGCUCUCCUGUGAAAGUUGGAAAGA